CAGCCGCCGCGGUAAUCCGUAGGGUGCGAGCGUUAAUCGGAAUUACUGGGCGUAAAGCGUGCGCAGGCGGUUUUGUAAGACAGGCGUGAAAUCCCCGGGCUCAACCUGGGAAUGGCGCUUGUGACUGCAAAGCUAGAGUGCGGCAGAGGGGGAUGGAAUUCCGCGUGUAGCAGUGAAAUGCGUAGAUAUGCGGAGGAACACCGAUGGCGAAGGCAAUCCCCUGGGCCUGCACUGACGCUCAUGCACGAAAGCGUGGGGAGCAAACAGGAUUAGAUACCCCUGUAGUCCCUGUCUCUUAUAC
rnacentral:rRNA from 1 species